rnacentral:lncRNA from 1 species
UCUAGUGAGGGUUCACGUCAAAGCUCCCUUGUUGGUGUCGGGCAAGGUAUGCCUGUGGAGGAAUCCUCUUCACAAAUGAAACUUAUGCUUGAAGGAGGCUCACCUCGGGUGUCUGCGAGCCCACCUCACUACACUGCUAGCCCAACUCGGGUGUCUGCGAGCCCACCUCACUACACUGCUAGCCCACCUCGGUAUACUCCAAGUCCAAGCCCCCCUCAUCAUACCUCAAGCCCACAACGGUAUACCCCGAGCCCAAGCCCGCCACAUUAUACCUCAAGCCGCCAGCGGUAUACCCCAAGCCCAAGCCCGCCUCGGUAUACCGAAAGCCCUCCUCUGUAUACUGAAAGUCCUCCUCAGUAUACCACAAGCCCAAAUUGGUAUGCCGAAAGCCCUCCUCGAUACACCCCAAGCCCAAGCCCACCUCGGUUUUCACGGUUCAAUAUCCAGGAGUUACCAUAAGGAAGUGAAUGGAGUAAGAUAAGGAUGGUUUGGCGUGUAGAGUGAGCUUGAACUUUCUCCAAAAUUUAGGAAGUCCAUAGAUAAAAAUGCAGU